AGCGAACGCUGGCGGCAGGCUUAACACAUGCAAGUCGAACGGAUCCUUCGGGAUUAGUGGCGGACGGGUGAGUAACACGUGGGAAUGUGCCUUUAGGUACGGAACAACUCAGGGAAACUUGAGCUAAUACCGUAUGUGCCCUUCGGGGGAAAGAUUUAUCGCCUUUAGAGCAGCCCGCGUCUGAUUAGCUAGUUGGUAGG
rnacentral:rRNA from 1 species